AAAGCUAUGUGAAAAAAACGGAUGUCCAACGUUUACAUUUAUGAAAAAACUGUUUUAACUCUUAUGUAUAGUGAUCCUAUUCUCUUAUUCUCUGAUCUUCUUCAUUCUUGGCAGGAACAACGACAUGUGUUGGUUCUCUGUGCCGUUAAAGCCGUUAUUUUGCCAAAUUUCAUUUGACUCAGGUGGCUUCAUAUUAAGCUGGAAUAAGAAAAAAUGUCCAACGACGUUUUUCGUUAACUCAACGACUGAAAGUGAAUUUUGUAAGUAGAUAUAGCAGAAAAUGAAUAAAAAGAGUAAGACAAUUGUAAUAUCUAACAAAAGUACAAAUAUUUGCCUCAUUGUUCAUUAUGAAAUUUGGAAAAAGAGGUU
rnacentral:lncRNA from 1 species